CUCCGGCAAAUAGCCAUGGAACCAAUCUGGGCGGUGGCCGCCGCAGCCGUACCUACCCACCACCACCACCUCUCCUUCCUCCCGGCAUCUCUUCGCCCUACCUCGUCUCCUCCGACGCGGACCUCCACAAGUAUGCCGUCGGCUCCUCCUUUGCCGCAACAGCGAACCUCCCACCUCUCCUCCUCCUCCACCCUGACCCCGUCUCCCUCGACGCCGACCUCCGCUAUGCGGUGCUCAUCAUUGGCGGCAGCGCUACUACCUACCACUACAUACCCUUCGCCUCCUCCCCCCCCCCUCCCUGACACGCGACAUGAUCUGAUUUGAUGUGAUGGUUGCCAUGGAGUAUUACUAUUGCAUUCAGUUGAUGGGGCGGAAGACAUCUCAUUUGGCCUUGGAAUGUGCUCUUAAGUCGCAUGCAAAUAUGGCGAGAAUGUUGCUGGCUUGCAGCAUCAAAACUGAAAAUUUCUGAUCUUACAAAGGAGGUACGUGAUAUUGUUGAGGCAAAGGUUGAAACGAGCAUAUAUUUCCUGUUUUCAUAGAAAUCCAUAAUUUGGAGAAGAUUUUGUUCCUUCAACAUUUUGAUUUUGUGGCGCAACUACUUCUCCAUCUAUAGAAUCUGACGCUCUGUUUGGCUUUCUCAUGUAGUGCUGCAAUUCAAUAUGUAAUAUUAGCUUAUCCUUUUUGUUUCAUAUAUGUUCAGGCAUCAACUUUACUAGAAGGGUUGGAUGCACUUUGCUGCGUCAUUGGUGUUGUAGGGUUUCUUUUAAAAAAAUACUCACUCUGUUGCAAAAUAUAAGGUGUAUUACUUUUAUGAAAAGUCAAACCUUUUACAUUUGAUUAAAUUUGUAGAGAAAUAUAUCUAAAUACAUAUGUAAAAUUGGUAUGGUUAGAUUCACCAUGAAAUGAAUUUCCAUACCCACUUUUGUUUAAUAUUGUGGAUGCUGAUAUCUUUUGCACUGAACUUGGUCAAAGUUAAAUAAAUUUGACUUUCCAAAUAACUAAUACCCCUUAUAUUUUGGAAACGGUGGAAUAUUUGGUUUGGCGGGUGAGGGAGAUGAUGGAGUGUGUUUUAUUUUUAUUCAUAAUGCGGUGAUUUGAUUGGUCUUUUCGUGGUGUCGUUCUAUGUUAUCCUCUAACCAACGUAUAUUUAUGUGAGGAAAA